rnacentral:rRNA from 1 species
AUGAUCGGGCCCUCGAACUUGUCUCUUCUUUGUGGUCUUCUGACGACUCGCCUGCGCUGCUGGGCCACGAGGCUCUUGUUUGCUCUUACAAAUGCCUACGGCCCGUGCAGUGGACCGGACCGGCCUCUCUUCCUGGCAAAUAUUGUUGCCACGGCCGCAGGGAUGGAUGUGCCUUGGUCUGUUUUUGGUGACUUCAACUUCAUCCGUCUGCCACAGGAGAAAUCCAAUGGAAAUUAUUAUCAUGCGGACGCCGAGCUGUUCAAUAACUGCAUUGACUAUUCGGCGCUUGUGGAAUUGCCCUUGCUAGAUCGUCGCUUCACCUGGAGCAACCGGCAGCGUGAACCUGUGCUUGUUAAAUUGGACAUGUUCCUUGUCACCAAUGACUGGUGCGAGGCUUUCCCGGAUUCUGCGAUCACCUCUAUUGCCUCCAAAACCUCGGAUCAUGUGCCAAUCGUCCUUGUGGCUUCCACUGCUGUUCCGACUGCCUCGAUUUUCAGAUUCAGCGACCAUUGGAUCGGGUACCCGGGGUUCAAUGAUGCCCUAGCUGUUGCUGCUGUGAGCGUCUCUCCCAGCAACGCCCCCGCAAAGAGGAUUGAGGGAGUCCUGGAUUAG